AAAAAACUUGUCCGGGCUCGCGUUUCUGAUUCCCGUGGAUCUCUCAUCUCGCUUGUCUCCUCCAUAGCAGCCAGGCAGCCAGCAUGGCGGCGGCUAGGGUUUGCAUCGCCGGUGCAUCUUGAGAUCCGCUGCUGCUCACGUGUCCACGUUGCAUCGCCUUUAAUCCCCACAUGCUCCAUCCAUACGCUGCUGGUGCUCGUCGCUAUUCUCUUCAUCGUCGGGACUUGUCGGCACUACUACCAUCGCCAUCUGAACCGAGCUCAUGUGCAUUUACAGCGGUGACCGAGCUUGGAUCCUAGCGAGGUAGGCACUACUACGAGGCUGACCUGACCAAGUAUCACACACGUCAUAUGCUACACACUACAACCUUUUUUUCCUUUCGCUAGAUUUUACCAUGAUUCGUAUUUUCCCUUUGUCUGUUCCUUUCGCUAGAUUUUACCAUGAUUCGUAUUUUUCCUUUGUCUGUUCGCUCAAACUAGGAGAAACAAGUAGUGUUUCUUCUCCAAGCAAAGGAGUUUGGUCGAGUCGUACGUAUCUAUUGAGUAUGUAGGGUCCAGUCUGCUGUCUAGUUUGCUCCAUCUGAGGGAUCGGUUGGGUUUAUUUAAUUUAGCCAUUGAUCAAUCUGACACUUAGUUAUCUAAAUGGCUGGCCAAUUUCCAAUGAGCUAUACGGAAGUAAUGGAUUUAAUAUUUUUAGUUUGUUGUGUUGUUACAUAUCUUUUUAGAAUAGGCAUUAUAUUUCCAUGUUUAUUCAUACUGAGUUCUGUAAAAUUAUGUGGAAACAUUAGGACAAAACAACCCAAAAUUUUUAUGAAUGAACCCAAUGAGACAACUAAGUCAGCAUGUGACUAUUCUAUCAAGCGGUGUUUGGAUCUUCUAGAAUCGAUUCUUUCAGAUGAGGAAAGGACACAGGCAACAAUGUGCUAAAGUAUGAGAUCAAUAGAGAAUUUUUUAUGAACUUCAAGAAUUAAAAAGGUUCAUUUGUUAUGGGUCAAGGGCAAAAGCACUCCGAAGGUAACUUACUUUCAUGUGUUUGUAUUUCUAGUCAAUUAACAUAUUUACCAUGUUUUAUAUUUGAAUUUCAUAGAAAAUAAAAAAACUCAUAGAAACUUGAAAAGUAUUCAAUUGAAAAACAUCAAUACAUCUACACAAGGAUCUAUGAGCAGUAUAGCAAACUCUACCUACAGUCGAUGCUACCUGUUGCUGCUUUAGUUUUCUGUUUGCACAAUUUUAUGUAAUUGUUUGAAUUUUAUCUAAUUGUAGGCCUAAUCUACAUUUUGACUUCUUUGAAUCAUGUCUGCUGAUGGUACUUACAAGGUGUCUGCUGAUGGUACUUACAAGGUGGACAUAUUGUACUGGAUUUACACUAGCCUGCUUGCAGGUCGUCAUCCAUUUUUGGGACAUUGUUGUGAAGAUUGGCAUGAGAACCACCUGUAUGAACUUUGGAAUCGUUAACUUUGGAGUGCCUUCUGCCUUGUGGCAAUUUAUGUAAUUUGAAUUUGUAUGGAAUGUUUUGUUCGAUUCACGUAUUUAUACCGAACAAAGUUUAUCCUUGCUACCAAUUUUGUGGAUUGUAACAACAUUUUAGAAUUC
rnacentral:lncRNA from 7 species